GAAACAGAUGCUAAUACCGCAUAAGAUUACAGUACCGCAUGAUACAGUGAUCAAAGGAGCAAUCCGCUGAGAGAUGGGCUCGCGUCCGAUUAGAUAGUUGGUGAGGUAACGGCUCACCAAGUCGACGAUCGGUAGCCGGACUGAGAGGUUGAACGGCCACAUUGGGACUGAGACACGGCCCAGACUCCUACGGGAGGCAGCAGUGGGGAAUAUUGCACAAUGGGCGAAAGCCUGAUGCAGCAACGCCGCGUGAGGGAAGACGGUUUUCGGAUUGUAAACCUCUGUUUUCGGUGACGAACAAAUGACGGUAACCGAGUAGGAAGCCACGGCUAACUACGUGCCAGCAGCCGCGGUAAUACGUAGGUGGCAAGCGUUAUCCGGAAUUACUGGGUGUAAAGGGAGCGCAGGCGGGAUAGCAAGUCAGCUGUGAAAACUAUGGGCUCAACCCAUAAACUGCAGUUGAAACUGUUAUUCUUGAGUGGAGUAGAGGCAAGCGGAAUUCCGAGUGUAGCGGUGAAAUGCGUAGAUAUUCGGAGGAACACCAGUGGCGAAGGCGGCUUGCUGGGCUCUAACUGACGCUGAGGCUCGAAAGUGUGGGGAGCAAACAGGAUUAGAUACCCUGGUAGUCCACACUGUAAACGAUGAUUGCUAGGUGUGGGGGGUCUGACCCCCUCCGUGCC
rnacentral:rRNA from 1 species